GACGAACGCUGGCGGCGUGCUUAACACAUGCAAGUCGAACGAAGUGGCGAACGGGUGAGUAACGCGUAAUCAACCUGCCCUUCCGAGGGGGAUAACAGUUGGAAACGACUGCUAAUACCGCAUACUGAAGGAGGGGAUUUCGUUGGAUUAGCUAGUUGGAGGGGUAACGGCUCACCAAGGCGACGAUCAGUAGCCGGUCUGAGAGGAUGAUCGGCCACAUUGGGACUGAGACACGGCCCAGACUCCUACGGGAGGCAGCAGUAGGGAAUCUUCCGCAAUGGACGGAAGUCUGACCGAGCAACGCCGCGUGAGUGAUGACGGCUUUCGGGUUGUAAAGCUCUGUUGAUCGGGACGCGGUACCGAAAUAGAAAGCCACGGCUAACUACGUGCCAGCCGCCGCGGUAAUUC
rnacentral:rRNA from 1 species